UUGGGCUGUGACACUGAUUGCUGUCAUACAGAGAGACUCUCCCCACUUCAUGGGGCUGACAGCCUGCACGUGGCCACACCUCCGUGUGGAUACCUUCUUCACCCUGGUCAGCCUUUGACAACCCACUCUGGGCCUUCUCCUGGCUGGGACUUUAUUUUCACCCAUUUCAAAGAGCUCUGCCACCCCAAACUGGGCCACCACUGUCACCAUUUCCUUAGGAGAAAAAGCCAACAGAAACAUAAAAAGGAAAAACAUGAGGUGGUCCCCAUGGGUCAUGGCGCUCAGGACGGGAUGAGUCCCAAGGAUUUAAACUUCAGAGCCAACCAGCGAGGUAGGUGAUGACAGUUGUUGUCCUAACAUUCUGAUUUGCCACGGUUUUCCUGUGAGCACGUUUGUUGAUGUUGUGAGUCAGUGACUCAGAAUUCAGGAUUGUAUAGAAGAGAAAAUGGUAAGAACAGCAGCAAUUAUAUAACCCGAGGUGUUUUCCUAGCAUUCUCCCAGCUCCUUUCAGGAAAUCUCCAGUCCUGUUGUCCAGGGGAGGAUUCUUUUAUCUCUUUUCUGGGGAUUUUUCUUCAAUUCCUGACCAACCAAACUGCUGUGUGCACUUCCCCUCUGCAUAACCAAAAACUAGUAUAGAGAGUCAACGAUCCUCCUUAAUGCUUUCAACCAAGUCAAUGAUAAAAAUCAUUGAAAGGGUAGAAGGCAAGGGAAGAUAAGCCCACCCAUCUUUCUUUAUAAGGAGUGACACUCUUACGUGUUGACCCUUCUUUUUCUCUGAAGAGACACCAAAAGAAUGGAAUCUCCUGGAAUGUGAGGUAACUCAGCUCAUUCAUCUUUAGUCUUUACAAUAUGCCUCUCGGGUUUUUUGACGUGUGAAAGGAAAGAGACAGCUAGUCUGAAGCGAUAGAAAGUUAGGGUCAUGCACUCCAUAACCAUCUCUUGGUGAUGCAAGAACUGAGUGUAAACAGGAUGAGCAGAGUUUAUUAAGACCAAGACAAGUAUUAAGUGAGUAACAGCUGUAGACAUUUUAUUCUGCGUACACAUACAAGGGGCUUCAGGCACAUGCAUACAGGAGUGGAAGAGUGUUUAUUAUGUGCUGAGGACUGUGGUAGACAUUUUGUUUAAAUUAUUUCUUCAACUCUAAAAUACCUGUUAGAUUAUUACAUGGUGUUCUCAUUGAGCUAUUACAGGACUGCUGUGAGGAUUAAAUGAGAUGAAACUGGUAGUAUCUGGUACAUUAGAUUCUCAUAAUAGCCCUAUAAAUCUCACCAAGGUUAAAGUGACCCAGCCAAUGUCACAUCACUAGAAAGUGGUCGAGAUGGUGUUCUAAUCCAGAACCGACCCCACAGCCCUCCCUCCUGUGGCUGUACUAUAUGACUAGAAAAUAGUCCAUUUGCUGGAUGUUUGUCUAUGACUCAUGUGAUAAGAGCAAUCUUGGGCCAGAAAUUUCAAGCAAAAGAGAAUUACUGUUAAAGCUCUGUCCUGUGGAAUAAUUUGUAGUUACUUGGAAAAGUGUAUUUUUAGGCUUAUUUAACUCUUGACAUGCAAUGUUUCACAAACGGCUUAAUUCCCUCUUUGUAAGCUGAGUGCUGCAGGUAAGCUGUGUUUUCCCACUGGAAAGGUAAUUCCAAAUCUGUGUCUAUGGAGAUUCAGUUUGAGCAAAUUUGACAUCCCAAACUUUGUGCGGUAAAGGUGACACUUAUUUGGGAAUUUGGUGAUCUUAUGAUGAUAAUUUAACUUCUCCUAAGGCUUCAGAGGUGGAAUCCUUCAUCUGAAAGAAUGGUAUGCUACAUGGGUAGAAAUGAGAGUUGAAUUUACUAUUCAUAGAGCGGUCAGGGCUGUGGUUUUUAGUCCUAAUAUCUAUUUGGGAUAUUUUUGUGAUGCAGACAUUAGGGUAGGAGCACAAAUAUCAGGUGAAAUUGUAAAGAGCUUAAGGAUAAAUACUUAUGAUGACAAAAGUGAUGGUUAGGCCAUAGCUAGUUCACUGAGGGAUAUCCUUAAUCAUAACUCUUAAUUUUAAGUUCUCUACUACCUAUCAUUUCUGUCUAGUUAAUUUUAUGGUAAUAACAUAUUCUGGAAUAUCAGCUCUAUAUGAACAGAGAAUUUUGUCAGUUUUAAUCACGAAUGUAUCCUUAGGACCUAGAAGAAUGCCUUGUUUACAGUAAGUGUCCAGUACAUAUAAUUUUAAAAAAGAAUGAAAUACGUAGGCAUAAUGAUAGAAGAUUAAGAAGUUCACCUCUAGUAUUGUAGGAAUAGAAGGAAUUCUCAACAGAGGAACAAAAUAUUAAAGGAAUAAACUAGUUUUAAAAAUUAGUUAUUUAAUUAUU
rnacentral:lncRNA from 1 species